rnacentral:lncRNA from 1 species
UAAUAGAAAAGUACAAUUAUAUUAUUCCCCCUGCUAUAGUUAAGCACGGCAUCACAAUCUUUAGCUUAAUAUAUGCUAAAGAUACUGACUACAUAAAUAGAGAGAGAGAGAGAGAGAGAGAGAGAAAGUAAAGCUAGAAUCUAGGUGUCAUGGACACAGACACGGGGCACAACACGACUCCGAAACGGCGACUCGACGACUUCCAAAAAGUUAGGACACGGACACUGCAUAGACAUCGCUAAUAAAAUAUAAUAUUAUUAAUAUAAUAAUAUAUAUUUAUUAGAGUUGAGCUGGAAUACUAUUAAUAGUAUUUGGGCUCUUUUGCUAUUGAUUUUUUAGCCGUUAAAUCUACACUUUAAUCAAUUCUACCAUUUAGAUAAUACUAUUCAACCAACCAACUACCCACUCAACCCUAGGGGGACCACCACUAAAACCUAGGAAACCACUAUCAUCCUAACCCUGUAAUUUUUCAUCCAAGGGUUAAAAACUUAUAGCAAAAGAGCCCAAAUAUUAUUAAUAGUAUUCCAACUCAAUUCUAUUUAUUAUAUAAAAUAUUAAUUUUGCAAAAAUAUUAUUAUAUUUCUCGUACAAAAUGAAAGUUAAUAAAAUUCUCAUUGAUAGUUCAUAUAUUUUAAGAAAAAAAAUUCUCCACCAUACAUAAUCUAUUGACAUUGUCCAAAAAAAUUUAUAUGCAUUUACCAAAAAGGCAAAAUAUUUAUCAUCUUAUAUUACAUAUGCCUAAAAAAAAAAUAAUAUAUAUAUUUAAUGGGAUGCGCCAUGCACCCACGUGGAGCGUAUGCCCAUGGCGUGUCCAUGUCAAACACGAGUUCCACACAGAAGGGCGUGUACACGCAAAGCCUAUAGAAGUGCCUAUGAUACAUAGACUAUCAAUAGCAAAGGAAUAGUACUUACUACCUACUUUUUAGCCUUUGGAUGCCUUGAGUUUAAUGGGGUAAGUGGAAUAGUAUUUGAUCCAAGGGCUACAAAGUUGAUAGUAAACACAUCUACUAUUAAUAGUAGCAUAGAUGGACUUGUAUAGAGUAAAGCUAGAAUACCAUCAAUAGCAAAGGUGUUAAUAGUAGCAUAGGUUAACUUGUAUAGAGUAAAGCUAGAACACCAUCAAUAGCAAAGGUGUUGAUAGUAACAUAGAUGUACUAUCAAUAGUAUCCUAGCUGAACAAUAUAAACAUAUAUACAUAUAUAUGAUUACAAGGAAAAUAGCAAAGACAACUUCAGAAAAUAGCAGAAACCAUAUCUUGUAUUAGACUAACCACAUUAAGGAACAACUUAAAUUAAGAAAUAGAUGUGAGAAAGAGAAGUAGAGGUAAAUAUAGUAUGAUAUAGCAAUUGACUCAUUUGCUUGAAGAACAUGAUUAGAUGGGACUGCGGUGGUGGGAGCAAACAAACCAUAUUGAUUACAGAAGGUUCCAUUUGGCACGCCAUCGUCCGUGUCCAUAUAAGAGUGUACAAUUUUAGAGAAUCAUCAUCAAGUAUUCCAACCAAAGUUGCUGUAAGCAUGAGAACAAGUAAGAACAUUGUCAAUAUUAUGUUGAAAGAGUUGAAUUUGUGCAAAACAACAAGAUGAUGAAUCAAAGGAACUUAUUACAUGGCAGCCUCCUUAUGCUGGUUGGUCUGAUAGCUUCAUGAGCUUCUUGAGCAUUCUUCACCUUUCUGAAGUACUUGCGUAUAUUUUUUGAAGCAUAUUCCUUACCAUACCUGCAAGGGAAAGAAUGAAUUUUCAGUGAAAAGAAUAAAAAGGAAAAUUGAGCAACUAUACUAAAUUACAUCAAAGUUGCAUUACAGGUUAGACUGAAAAAUUACAUAAGUGGUCAGGUUAGGUUAGGUUAGGUUAGGUUUGAGCGGUCUCAGCCUGAACGCAAUUCACUGGUUAUGAAAGAGCCUAAACAAAAACCUGCCCAACUCAAUAUAAGUAGAGAAGCUCUUACAUUCAGUGACUUGCAUCUUCCAAUAACGAUUUAUAAGCAACCCUAUACUACACUUAUACGCUUGUCAUGAUGGGGCAAGUGCAAUGUCUUAAUAAAGUAUCAAAGCUCAGACCUUCAAGUUCCAAAAGCUACAGCGACUGAGGAUAGAACUUCCUAUUUUAGUUCCUCUCCAACUCAACCAUAAGUUGACCUUAAUAAGCCCAUGAAUUCCCGAAUUACAACAGAACACAGAUUCACCCAAUCUGAUAUAUCUACUAGAAAAAAGGAUAACUAUAACAUGUGAGAAGUUAUCACCUUUCUUUUACCAAGGAAUGGAUAUCUUCUGCAGCUUCACUAGAAACCUACAGGAAAAAUGAAAAGAAUUAGAAUAAAGGCAAGCCUUUCAAAAAGAUCAAGUUUUUUCAUAUUAUUUUGGAUCUAAAGUUUGCGAGAUAUAUAACGUCUAAAGGCACUAUGCUCAAUAGUUCCUCACUUCAUCCUAGCAGGAAACCAUUAAACAUCUCAAAGGCAUACAAAUAAAAAGCAUUAUUCUGCAAACGUGUGCUCACUAUAAAAGGCAUUAUUCUGCAAACUUGUGCUCACUACUCUUAUGAAUGCUCAGAACCUCAGACCUUCAAUAGAAAAACCUACAGUGCCCAAAGUUGAAAACAUGUGAUUUGUAUCUAGGAGUAAGCAUAAAAUUUAAGGAAUUUAUUGGGCGUAAUGCAUGUGACUACACAAACAUGCACACUUAUCUGCGAGGAAGUCAUCAUAAACUUCCACCGUCAUGUUAGAGAUUAAGAUAACAGAACGUUGAACUAUCAUAAAUUGAAAACGAAUGCAAUCAAGCAGCUCAAUCCUUAGGGACAACAGAAAAACACAGGGCAUGAAUAUAAACUAUCGGUAAAUGCAGAUCAAGAACAAACAGAUUAAGUUAAAUUGGGUAAUGAAUGGCAAAAAUGAUACCUACAUGUAAUCCAUCAGUUCGCAUGUAUGUUAUCAACCCCGUUGCUUCUUCAUCUGAUAGUUUGACCCCCUCAUACAGCUUCUGAGCCAGCUGCAAUUAAAUGAUGCCGUAAUAAAAAUAGUUCUUCGAUGAAAAAUCCUAUCAUCUUGGGAUAGACUUAAACAAGUAAAAUAUAACUAAAUCAGAUAAUCUUCUGAAAGUCGUUGAGUAAUUUAUGAAUAUUCAAAACGAAACCACUACUAUGAAAUAUUUAGCAAUGUUAAAGAAGCAACCAACCGCAUGUAAGACCUAAGAUUCAAUUGAAAAAUAAUGUGUAGAUGCCAAUAAUACAAGUUAUUGGCAUAGAAACUGAAACUGCAAUUAGCUAAAUGUCAAAUUAAGUAAUACUACAUCUGAAAAACAGAUCAAUCAUAUGUAUCGACUGGCUCCCCUCGAGGUCAAGCCAACAUGAGAAUUGUUUAAAUAGUUUCAAGGUAAAGUGAUAAACAAACAAGACUCUGCUAAUUGGCAUCAUAGGACCCCCUGCUUUUCUCAAAUAGCAAUUCAUGGUCAGAUUGAAAAAAUUAGAUCCCACUAAGGAAAUGAGCCUAUUUUUCAUAAAGAAAAAGGAUGCAAGAGGUCAUUAAAUCUCUGAAGAAUGAGAAACAAACCUUCAUUGUAUAAGCAGCAGUAAAGUGCAGCUUGUUAGCAGAAUCUUGCUGAAGACUUGAUGUUAUAUAAGGCAUGGGAGGAUUUUUAUAAACUUUGCUCAUUUUUACACCUAUCACUUUAAAUUUAGAGGAAGAGGCUCGUUUUUCAAUGGCCUGUGCCUCUGCUUGAGAGCCUACAGAUAGCUGAUCCAAUUUUUUGGAAUCAAAAUGAGUUAAAUAUGAAGAAAUAGAGCUUUUGUUCUUUGAAGAAUCUGAACUUGAAACUUGAAAGUCAACCCCAACACUCCAAUACUCUUGUGGAUUAAAUUGUUCAAUCUCUGUCUCCCUAUCACAUAAAAGUGCCAAGGCUGCAGAUUGGACACGGCCAGCCGACUGGCAACCAGGUAGCUUCCUCCAUAAAAGUGGUGAUAUGCUGAAACCAAUCAAGUAAUCAAGGGCGCGCCGUGCAAGAUAAGCAUUGACCAAAUUCAUAUCUAUAUCUCUGGGAGAGUGCAAAGCACUUUUGACAGAAGCCUCCGUUAUUUCAUAAAAUACGACUCUUGCCACAGUGAUAUUUCCACCUAAGGCAUCUUGUUGUUGUAGCAUUUCAGUGAUAUGCCAAGCAAUUGCUUCACCCUCACGGUCAGGAUCAGAUGCAAGAAUAAGAUUUUCCGCUCUGGGAAGAAGAACGGACGAAUGUAAGAAAAGGGUGAAUCAGAUGCACGACCUUUUUCCACAAAAGAAAUUUCUAAUGAAACCAUUGCAAACAAUGACAAAAUAAAGAAUGAAGAGUAAACUUUAACUACAUGGAGCAUAAAUAAAGGAACAGUCAUUUAGUAGUGGAGCUACCGGGCAGAUGACCUUGCUUAGCGUUCACAAUCUCCAACAGCUGAUUUUUAUGUCCUUAAGUCCAUUAGUUGACGUAUUAAGAAUGCCGAUUUAGUAGCUUUAAUGAACAAUUGCUACCAACAAUGUUGUCGCUGUCAUAGAUAAAUUGUAGAAAUCAUAGGAACGAUCAACUAGAUCAAGGACAAUAGCAUUGUCUUUUUUUAAUAAAAAUUACAAAAAUUACAAUUAAUAAAAACAGAUUUUUACAUAAGAAACAAUUGUCAAAUAUCUUAACUGGUUUAUUCAAUCAGGUUAAAUACAAAAUAAUAGCUCAACAAUGAUGACGGAUGUAAGCAAAUGCAACAGAAGAAAAAAUAAUUCAUUCCUUCAUUGAAAUAUCUGUAAAUGAAACUUUUUUCAUCUUUCAGUUGAAUCAUAUAUGGUAAUACAGAGCAUUACAGUAUGUAAUGAACUGAUUUUCAUUCAGAAAAUCUAUAAAGAAACAAAAUAUGGAGGGGAAUCAUGAAGCUCUAGUUAAUAGUAGUUAGAAAAAGGAUUAUUUCCUUACAAAUCCGUCUACUAAGGUUAGAUGGUAAUGUUGUUGCUUUCUGGUGACAAAGAUAAUUGCUUACUUAUCCCGUUUGAACCUAUAAAAGAGAUUAACUUAUCAUUGCCAUAAAUAUUUAACCUAUAGAGACAUAAUUAAGUUAGAUCCUCUGAUCUAAGGGUUUCACUAUACGUAAAAUAAAUGGAUUCUUUCUACAUUCCAAUUCAGGGAUUAUAACUCUUAUCUUAAGAACCAUUCGCAUAAGAUUUUUUAAAUCCAGAGUGUGAAUCAUACAAAUCCUAAAAAAAAAGUUUCUUACAAUUAUAAACUUAGCCACCAAUUCUUUCAAAAUGAGAUUCGUAUGUAUGCCACAAUUAUGUAGUAUGGUAAAUAAGAACCAACAUAAAGAAGCAUACCCGCUUAAUGCUACCUUAAUGCUCUUAAGAUGUGUCCAGGCAGCAGAAGGCACCUCCCAAACCAUGCUGAAGUCAUCAUCAGUCCUGACUGAUCGUGACCUAGCAGCCAAGUCUCUAACAUGACCAUAACUAGGCAGCACCUCAUACUUAUCCCCUAGAUAAUUCUGGAUGACUCUUGCUUUUGUGACUGACUCCACCACAACAACCGAUUUACCGGUUGGAGGGUAAAGAGGGUGAAGGGAAUUAUGCUGCUUCCUUCCAAACUUUGCACAUUUAACAGAAGAAUUCUGACUGCUAUUUUUAACUUCAUGAGAUGUAAUAGCCACAUUGGCUUUCUGUGCUCUUGAAGAUCUUUUCGAACUUUUAGGCUCCUUUUUAGUUCCAGAAGCACUUUUAGAUGGUAUUUCCUCCUGUUUUGAAACAGGCUUCCAAUUCUUCUUUUCUGGAGUUUUAGUAGCUUUCUUGGUCGGUUCUUUCUUUUCUCUAAGGCCUACAGCAACUUGCUCUCCACUCUGUGCAGCAAUUGCACUUCUGGUAACUGUCUUAUCAGUGCAUGCAACAUCCUUUGCGGAGUUACCGGUGAAUGCAGCAUUCGCCUCUCCAUUAAUACUGGCACAAGUGGCUAGUGAAUUUUCUCGUCUCUUUGAUCCAUGAAGCAGGUGAGAUGCACCAGGACCAUCUUCUGUUUUACUACCUUUCACAACUAAGUUAUCUUGGAAACUCUUUGAUCUGGCCACAAGUUGGAACUUCUUUUUACUCUUGGUUGAAAACAAUCUUUUGUUUCUGUGUUCACGAGCCAUCAAAUUAAAUAUAGGAGUGCUUUCAGAUCCAGAAAUGCCAAUACCGCAACUAUUGAAAUGUCUAAUAGAAUAAGAGGGCAUCUGUUUAAACUGCGGAGAAACUCUAAUAGAAAUCCCAGCAUCCAUCUUUCUCAAUGAAUUAACCUUCAGUAUUAGUUGUACAGGCUUUACAUUGGAACCAUUAAAGCCUAAUGGCGAAUAAGGCAUGCAGCUGCAUGGAAAAUUCUGCAACGCCCUAUAUUGAAGCUGCAACAAGAAACCCAAAGGCGAGACAUUUGAGCACUGAAAUAUUUGCAAUAUUUAGAUAGUUGCGCAUGAGACUGCAAGAAUCCCCAGAAGGACCAACCAUUACUUACAAGCUAUAGUGAGGCAAUAUGACAAACAAGAAAUAGGCAGAAUUACAAACCCCAAAUUUCUUGAAGCCAGCUAUGAUCAAACCCUUUCUACAACUUUAUAUGCAUUAAAUAUGUUGUCAAUGACGAAAAGCUAAUCUCCUAAGAAAAUCCUACAGAGGUUUAAAUCUUUGAAAACCUUACAGAGCUGAUACUAAAGGCUCAAACCUUCAAAGAACAUAGGAUUCUCAUUCGCUUGCCACCAUCGUUCACAAGAAUCACAAAUCAAUACAUCGCAUUCAAGAAACGGGAAAUGAUAAAAAAUGAAAAGCGUAGAUACCAUGGCUGGAGAAGAGAAACUCCUUGGUAAGCAGCUGGGGAAGAAGAGCCUACGAAGCUGGAGCGCCAUGCGAGCCCUCUGAGGAUCCGCUAAAGAUAAGAGAGGGCCCCCGAAGCUAUCACGAAGAAGGAAAAUGAGCGUAAAAACAUUAGCACACGAUUCAAGAAAUGGAGGAGAGAGCUUACAGCUGCAGCGAUGGCGAUGGUCGUACCUGAGGAUAUCUAGGGUUAGGGUUAGGGUUUUGGGGCGGCAUCAGCUGCGGAGCAUCACUACGACGACGGAGGAAGAAGAAACGGGCCAGUGUUCCGAACAGAGAGCGCUCCUCUCUCUCACUCUCUCUCUCUCUCUCUCUCUCCCUCUCUCGGGCGCGGCUUUGGAUACGCGCACAAAUGGAAAGGAGAUAUCGGUUCGUUAGGGGUUUUACUUGUGGCGAGGUUUUUAUACAUGCGGGACCGGGGGCGAAUGGACUGGUCUAGGGUUCCGGUUUAGGUUGAGACGGUUCGACCGGACCGGGUGUUGUAUUUCGGCCGGUUCAGGUUGAGUCGAGAUGUGACUCGAACCUUACUUCCUUGGCGCAACGUGAUCAGUGCGUGCUUGGGGCUUUUUUAUAAAAUGACCCUCUAAAAAAUUGUAAUUGGCAAAAUAAUCAUGUAAAAAUUUUAUUUGUAAAACUAACCCUCCUUUCGCCACGUAGGCGGCACGUCAAGAUUUUCUUAUAAAGACGGUAAAUCGUUCGCCGUUUUCUCUUAUUUCUUUUAUUUUAAAGGCGGUAAAUCGUUCACCGCUUUUUCCCAUUUCUUUUAAAGGCGGUAAAUCGUUCACCUCUUUCUCCCAUUUUUUUAAAAAACGAUAAAUCAUUCACCGCUUUUCACUUAUUUACUGUUCCUUUCUAUAUCCCAUAUAAUCUUAACAACUUUUAAAACCUAAUAAUUUAUCCAUAUAAUUUCAUAUAAAGGCAGUUAAGAUUAUAUGAAAUUAUAUAAAUAAAUUAUUAGGAUUUAAAGAUUGUUAAGAUUAUAUGUAAUUUGUUAGAAUUUUUAUGUGGUUGUUAGGAUUAUAUAAGAAAUAUAGAAAAUAACAAUAAAUAAGUUAUGGAAGAAAACGGUGAAUGAUUCACCGCCUUUAAAAGAAAUGGGAGAACGCGGUGAACGAUUCACCGUCUUUAAAUGAAAUAGGAGAAAAGAGGAUUAAUUUUACAAAUAAAAUUUUGAGUGGAUUAUUUCGCAAAUUUUAAAAUUUUAGAGGGUUGUUUUAUAAAAAAGUCCGCGUGCUUGUCGCUGUUUAAAAAGUGGGCGAAAAUGAGAAUAAAUGAAAAGAAAGAGAUGGAACAAGUGAGCAAGGUUUGCACACUUACUAUUUUAAAUUGUCUUCAUAGUAUUCUUUACAAUUGUAAUGCUUUUAUAUGCAAGUUGUUAUUAAAUUAUAAAUUAUAUCAAAUAAUUUAUCUACUGAUUUGAAUACUUCGGAUAAUGGAUAGGAUAAAUAUUUGGAAUCAAAAAAAAAAAAAGGUUGAAACUAGGCCAAUUUGUAUCUGAUGAGAAUGUGGCGUGGUUAAAAUUACAGAGCAAUACCUAUUUGUACAUGUAAAUUUUAUAAUCUAUUUUAUCUAAAGAUUAAUAUUUUUGCAGUAAACUAGUUAUUUCUUUUAAUAUGAAAAAUUAAAUGAAUAGGUAUAAAUUUUGCACUCUCUAUUUGAGUACACAAGUGGCACUUAAAAUUAUAAUGAGUAAAUAAAUGGUAUAUGCACACCUGAUCAUAUUAUUAUGGAAAGCAUAAAGUUUGAUAGAUGAUCUAUUAAAAUCCUGUUUGUUUAUCCAUCCAUUAUCUCCGAAGCUUCAGAAAUAUCUUUGUAGAUUGAGCUUUAGAAAGUGGAGAAACCUGCUUCAAUUAUUUGCAGCUCCUUCCCAGUGGCGCAUAACAAUAUUACUUUACUGUCUAUUUUGUUCCCAUUUGUCUACCUAUACCAAAUAUAUUAUCUGAGAAUUCUCUCUUAUUCGACAUAUUCUUUAUUUUUAAGUAUGUAAAUAUUUUACCGACUGUCUCUAGCACGAGUGGUAAAAAACUUAGUAGUUGGUAUUCGAGAUCGAAAAUUCAAAGCAUAUUUGCUUUAUAUUUUCAGUUAGAUUCAUUUAUUUAAAAUAAAAUAAUAAAAUAGAUAAAAUGCUAUUUUUCUCUAAAAAAUACAUAUAAUAUUUUUAAUCUAAUAAUUUAUCUCUUAGGCUCAUUCUAAAUAAUAAAAAUAAUAAUAACUAACGUAUAGAGGAGGAAGUUGAGAGUAGAUGAAGUAGAGCUCUAACGUAACUUGAGUUACAUUAUAUUUUUCACCUAGGGGCCUGUUUGUUUCGACGGAAGUGGGGUGGAAGUGGGACGGGGAAAGUGAUUUUCGGUGAAAACUAACCACUUCCGCUGUUUGGUUCACCGUAAGUUUAUUACGCCCGAAAGUUCAGUUCACCCAAAAUAAGGAACUUGACUUCGCCCUCCCAUGGGGCGAAGUCAAUUUCGGUGAAGUGAAAAAAAGGCAAGANAAAAUAUGAUCAAAUUUGAUUAGGUAAACUUUAAUAUAUUUUUUGUUUAAUUUGUAUAUUUAGAAAAUGAUGAAAAAUGAAUUUGUUAAAUGUUAAUAAUUUUUUAACUUUAGAAUUUUAUUUGUUGCAUUAUUAUAAUUUAUAUGCAAACAAAUAAUAUAAUUUUUUAAAAUUUUAUUUUAUAAUUAUACAUAUAUAUAAUUAUAUACAUAUAUAAUUAUAUUAAUUUUUAUUUAUUAUAAUUUAUUAUUCACUAUAAGUUAUAAAAUAGACAAUAAUAUCACUUUGGAGGUAAGUAUACCGGGGGUGGAGAGCUACACUUUUUACGUCAUCUACUUCCUACCAAACAAACAACAGAACUCGCAGAACUGCACUUCCACAGUUAAAAACAAACAGCAGAAGUAAACUAAUUUUCACCCCAACUCCACUUCAACCCAAAGUCCACUUCCACCCCAAGUCUACUUACGUUGAAACAAAUAUGCCCCUAUACAAAAACAAAUAACGAAAGUGAUGGAACUUGAGUUCCAUCACUCCACUUACACCAAAACAAAC